rnacentral:rRNA from 1 species
GAUGAACGCUGGCGGCGUGCCUAAUACAUGUAAGUCGAGCGAACAGACGAGGAGCUUGCUCCUCUGACGUUAGCGGCGGACGGGUGAGUAACACGUGGAUAACCUACCUAUAAGACUGGGAUAACUUCGGGAAACCGGAGCUAAUACCGGAUAAUAUAUUGAACCGCAUGGUUCAAUAGUGAAAGACGGUUUUGCUGUCCCUUAUAGAUGGAUCCGCGCCGCAUUAGCUAGUUGGUAAGGUAACGGCUUACCAAGGCAACGAUGCGUAGCCUACCUGAGAGGGUGAUCGGCCACACUGGAACUGAGACACGGUCCAGACUCCUACGGGAGGCAGCAGUAGGGAAUCUUCCGCAAUGGGCGAAAGCCUGACGGAGCAACGCCGCGUGAGUGAUGAAGGUCUUCGGAUCGUAAAACUCUGUUAUUAGGGAAGAACAAAUGUGUAAGUAACUAUGCACGUCUUGACGGUACCUAAUCAGAAAGCCACGGCUAACUACGUG